UACGCAACUUGUUCGCGACGUAGAGCAAAUGACUGAUGUUUGCUGGGGGAUAGUGUUGUAGCAGUUUGAGAUUAGCCGUAAAAUCGCCUGCAAGUAGGCGUCGUCUAAUGAGAAUCAACAUCGAGCAGCAUAUUCGGAGGAGUGUUUCCAGAGGACCCUCAGGAUCACUCAAAAUUGUAUCCCAUAUGUGAAGGCUGUCUGCAAAAUUGAACUCUUGGGUCAAGAGGAGAGUGAUCCACCUAAAUGCAUAAAACUGGGGGUUUACUUUGGUUGUGAUCUCAAGGUGACGCCAGAGCUCUUCAUCAUGCUCCUUCAGAAGUUGAGACAACUUUGUGAUUGUG
rnacentral:misc_RNA from 1 species